AACGAACGCUGGCGGCAGGCUUAACACAUGCAAGUCGAACGCCCCGCAAGGGGAGUGGCAGACGGGUGUGUAACGCGUGGGAACAUACCCUUUUCUACGGAAUAGCUCUGGGAGACUGGAAUUAAUACCGUAUACGCCCUACGGGGGAAAGAUUUAUCGGGGAAGGAUUGGCCCGCGUUGGAUUAGCUAGUUGGUGGGGUAAAGGCCUACCAAGGCGACGAUCCAUAGCUGGUCUGAGAGGAUGAUCAGCCACAUUGGGACUGAGACACGGCCCAAACUCCUACGGGAGGCAGCAGUGGGGAAUAUUGGACAAUGGGCGCAAGCCUGAUCCAGCCAUGCCGCGUGAGUGAUGAAGGCCUUAGGGUUGUAAAGCUCUUUCACCGAUGAAGAUAAUGACGGUAGUCGGAGAAGAAGCCCCGGCUAACUUCGUG
rnacentral:rRNA from 1 species